CACCGCGGUUAUACGAGAGGCCCAAGCUGACAGCCCUUCGGCGUAAAGCGUGGUUAGAAUAGAAAGAUAAAUUAAAGCCGAAUGCUCCCUAAGCUGUUAUACGCUCUCGAGAGCUAGAAGAUCUUUUACGAAAGUAGCUUUAUUACAUUGAAUCCACGAAAGCUAAGAUA
rnacentral:rRNA from 1 species